AGAAAACAUGCAUAAUGAAGAAAUGUCCCUAAGAGAUAGACUUCCUGCAGUGCAUGCAGGAGGCAAGUGCAGAGGCUACUGGGCAAAGUGCAUCCACCCAGAGGACAUUUCUGGUUGAAAAUUAAUGAGCCUGUCACCUGACAGAGCACAUACUCCUGGCAGCAGGAAGUGUCAGAAACACAGGAUUUAGCAUGAAAAUGGGAAUUCUUAGGCUGUGAAUAUGUAGAAAGAGAAAGACACUUCAGGCAAAUAUUUUCAGGAAUGUAGAUUUGGAGCUGUUCUGGGCAAUUACCAGCAGUCUUACUUAACAAAACAGGAGAAUUUGCAAACCUUCCAAAAUCCAUCCUUCCAUAUUCAAGUGGGCAGCAUUAACAGUGGCUACUAAGAAUUAAUUUUAAGCAGAAGAGAUUUCCAGUGGUUGCUUUCUAUCCAUGCUGCAGCAGUAGUGAGCAGAGCACAGCAGUCACGCUGAGGACAGCCCACUGCGGUUGCCUGUCCUUACCACUGGUCCUCAAAGACAAAAUCAAGAGCCCCAGGAGGGUGGAGAUGGAUCCCAGUCCCUUAUUGAAGAAGAAACUAAUGUCUAGAGACGUUAAGUGACUUCAACACCACGUAUGAGACAGCCAAAAUGAAAGCUGAGUCAUUCUGGCAGCAGAGUCCAACUUCAAAGCCCAACACCAAACUACCAUCUUCUGCUUAAGUCUUACAGCUCUACAUUCCUAGAUCUCACAUUUCCCUCUGAGUUACACAUUCU